rnacentral:lncRNA from 1 species
CAGAGCAAGGUGAAUUUGUGGACUGUCCUCCUGGGAGAUGCUAUCAGGACAAGCUGUGAAGUUGGAUGUCUGAAAGAGAUCAAGACAAUUUUCUAAACACCAGUACACAAUCUCAGUUGGAUAGCUGGACACAACUGUUUCCCUGGAAAUGGACCCAUAGGAAUCAGAAACAAAGGACGCUGAUGCUGCUUUUCAUCUUCUGCCCAAGGAGAAUAAAUGUUUGUGCAAACCUUUUUUCAUGUGGCUGCCCAGAAAUGACCCAAGUGAAGCCAAGAAACUGCACAUUAAGCAACCACCCCCUGGCAAUGCUGCUGAAAUGA